CUCCUACGGGAGGCAGCAGUGGGGAAUAUUGGACAAUGGGCGAAAGCCUGAUCCAGCAAUGCCGCGUGAGUGAUGAAGGCCUUAGGGUUGUAAAGCUCUUUCGGGUGGGACGAUGAUGACGGUACCACCAGGAGAAGCCCCGGCUAACUUCGUGUCAGCCGCCGCGGUAAUAC
rnacentral:rRNA from 1 species